UAAUCGAUAACAACAAACAAUCGGAACUUCUAACAAAUGAACAACACUAACAGCUGUAACAACAAGAAAAUGUAAGCAAAAAAGAUCGGGUUCCGGUUCCGGACCCCGCGUACCUGCCCUACCUGAGACGAUCCGCUGAUCUUGUCUCCCACAUUUUGGCCACUAGAUGGCCUGCAUCAGCCCGUAUUGGCUGACAUGUCCCCUUUUCCCCUCAAUUGAGAUUUAGCUGGACAUUUCUCUCUACAGUAGGGUAUCCCCAUUCUGCAAUUUAUUCUAUGCAAGCUGACAUUGUCUUCAAUUCUUCAACAGAAUACAUUUUUAUUUAACAACAUUAAAUGAAACAGGCGACGAAACACUGCAAAGUUAUUGCCAGUCAAGAAAAGAAAAAAAUAACCAGGGGAAAGAUAUAACACCAGACGCAAUAAUCUUUGGGGCCUUUCCUUCACUGUUCGCACUUUCGAAAAUUUUCUUACGUGAAACUAGGCAAAACUUUUCUAGAAAAUUUUUUUUUAUGGGGCCGACAUGUAAAAAAAAAAUAACUUUAAGCUCGCUUUGAGCACGCCCGCCGUUGACUGCUGAUCAUAUCGAACUCCCUGCUGUACAUUUGGGCAGCAACAUCGGUGCCGAAUUUCGGCACACGCAAACAUUUACUAGGCGGACACCGUUGCUGUCCAUCUGCACGGCUGCAUUUUUUGGGUCAACGGCCCAAAUGAAGGCCAAGGGCAUAUCAAAGGGCAUGCGAUCCGCUCUCCCUAAAAUCUCUUUAAGGGCGAAUCGGGCGGCCAAUAGCAAUCGCCCCUUUUGGCGCCGUGGAUCACAAGCCCGGCAUUUCCAAUCUUCAAUAAAUUGGGCGCCGCUGUGGGCCCAGCUUCACCCCCGAUA